UACGUAGGGUGCAAGCGUUGUCCGGAAUUAUUGGGCGUAAAGAGCUCGUAGGCGGUCUGUCGCGUCUGCUGUGAAAACUCAGGGCUUAACCCUGAGCUUGCAGUGGGUACGGGCAGACUAGAGUGCGGUAGGGGAGACUGGAAUUCCUGGUGUAGCGGUGAAAUGCGUAGAUAUCUGGAGGAAUACCGGUGGCGAAGGCGGCAUCCUGGACCGGCAGUUGACGCUGAGGAGCGAAAGCCAGGGGAGCAAACGGG
rnacentral:rRNA from 1 species